rnacentral:rRNA from 1 species
AGUGAACGCUGGCGGUAGGCCUAACACAUGCAAGUCGAACGGCAGCACCGUAAGAGCUUGCUCUUACGGGUGGCGAGUGGCGGCCGUGUGAGGAAUACAUCCACAUCUACUUUUUCGUGGGGGGUAACGUAGGUAAACUUACGCUAAUACCGCAUACGACCUACGGGUGAAAGCAGGGGAUCUUCGGACCUUGCGCGAUUGAAUGAGCCGAUGUCGGAUUAGCUAGUUGGCGGGGUAAAGGCCCACCAAGGCGACGAUCCGUAGCUGGUCUGAGAGGAUGAUCAGCCACACUGGAACUGAGACACGGUCCAGACUCCUACGGGAGGCAGCAGUGGGGAAGAUUGGCCAACGGGCGAGAGCCUGAUCCAGCCAUAGCGCGUGCGUGAAGAAAGACUUGGGGUUGUAAAGACCUUUUGUUGGGAAAGAAAAGCAGCAGGUUAAGACCUCGCUGUUGUGACGGUACCCAAAGAAUAAGCACCGGCUAACUUCGUG